GAUCCAUCUCCGCCGCCACCCGACACAGCAGAUCGAACUCCGCCGCCGCCCGAUCGCACGCCCGAUCCUCCCCUACGCCCAGUCCACGGCGGAUCCAUCCCUGUGCCGCGCCGCGGCGGAUCCAUCACGUUUUUCACCGACGAGGUACGGGAUCGCCGCCGCCGACCUUCCUCAAUCUUUUGUCUAGGGUUCCCCGCCUCCGCCGCCGCCGCCGACGGCGCCAUCGCGGAACCUCAGGGCAGGUCAGGUCUCCAAGCAGCUCGUGCUUGUGUGGAGUCGCCGCACUCCGCACAGCGCUGCCGCGGCGGAUCCCCGGGGCCGCCGCCGCCGUUGAACCCCAUGGACGAAGCCGUCCCACGAACGACCGAUGCAGGCACCACAACAACAGCUCGUUACCGAAAUAUCAGGGGCGCAGAUGAUGUACAGGAUCAUCUCGUCCAUGCCAUGGAACAAAGCCACCUGCUUGACGAGCUCCAAACAGAGGUAAGGCUUGAUGCCCCACUGGAUCCACUUCAGAAAAGGGUGUUGACUGUUCUGAAUUAAGCCAAACAUGAAAUCUGAUUGAGGUAGGGAUGAAGCUCUUAUUUUGCAUAGUAUUUUUAGGCAAUUUCAGAAUUUACGUAACAUAUAUAUGUCCCUAGAUUAGAUAGUAUGCAUGCCCUCUGUAACCUGCUGAAUGUCUCUUGGGUAACUAAAAAUAUUCAGAAUAAUCUAAAUUUCAGAAAUUCUUCAUGGAUUAUGAAUGGCAGUUAUAUGCCACCAGAUAGCAAGAUUGCUACUUGAACAAUUUUUUAUCUGUGAAGCUUAGGCGUUAGACGAACUAAAUUUGCUAUCAUUUUCCACCAUUUAUAUUUAUUCCUAAGGCCAUCAGAGCCAUUAAGACACUUGCGCUGCCCUAAGGGAGUCCUGUUACCCUUUUUUUAGUCAAUGACCCACCAGUCACCACAAGUGCAAAUGGUUAGUUUACUAAAAUUCAAUGACAGUAUAUAUUUACUCCUGUUUAUUUGCACGUAUGGUUUCUCAAUUUCACUUCUCAACAUGGUAUUUGCAACUUAAUCAUUACUCAACCGACCUGCUUUUGGUAUACUUUUUUACAAGUAUAAUAAAAAAAGGGCAACCUGGUGCAUGUAGCUCCCGCUUGCGCAGGGUCCAGGGAAGGGUCCGACCACUUUGGGUCUAUAGUACGCAGCCUUUCUCUACAUUUCUGUAAGAGGCUGUUUCCAGGACUUGAACCCAUGACCUCAUGGUCACAAGGCAGCAGCUUUACCACUGCGCCAAGGCUCCCCUUCUUUUACAAGUAUAAUCACAUUAAGAUAUAUUACUGUAUCCCCCCUAAAAAAGGUAUAUUACUAUAAUUUAGUAGGGCGCUCAUUCGAUUCACAAAACAAAUUUUACACGAGAUUGUAUGAGCUUCUGCAUAUCUGCACCUAUAUUAGAAUCAGAUCAAACUCCUACAUUUACUAAUAUAGUUGAUGCCCCUUAAAAUGAUUGAAACAACAUUGUUAUGCAUGAUUAUCGAUAACUCAGGCACUCAGCUGAUUAGGCAGUAAAUGCUGACUAUACCAUGUAAGAUGCAUUUUCCCUUCAGAAUGUAACAUGUGUUUUUAUGAAUUUUUGGAUGCGAAACCAUUUGCACACUAGCAUGCAUACGCCCUGUCAACGAAAAUAAUAAAAUGAUUCAGCACAAUCGCAAGAUAUCAGUAGUUCAGCACACCAUGGUAGCACAUGCAUGGCCCACCAUGUACUCUCACUACUAACACCAUAGUCAAUUCAAGCGACCUAUUGCUAGGAAGUGCAUGAGCUGAUGCUAGCAUGCCCUGACAAAACAUGAAAAAACUUGUUCUCUAAUGUAUCUACCACCUGAGAGAUUGUUUCGAUACAAUUAUUGUAUUUAAGAAAAUAAUUACCAGGUUCUCUGAUGUAGUAGUUCACAGGUUCUCUGAUGCAAGGGCUCUGGGUCAUCAGCUUCGGCAAGUGGAGACAGGGACUGGCAUGGACAUCGUGGACUUUCACAACACGGCCUGCAGCACAGUUCCAACGUGCUCUGCUCCUCGGACUCUGUCUGUCUGUACAACAUCAACAACAGCCUGAUGGUUGCCUCCGGGCCAUGGCAUGGCAGGACAUGCAGGUUCCUAUUCAAUGGAGACAUAUGGAGGCGCUGGCCUGUCGCACGCUCGCUGGACACACAUGAGCAGCCACAUGGUGACUGUCUUCACGGGAGUUUUCUUUCUCCCAAGAGCGCCAGCUGCCUGAAGGGACAAAACUAUGGAGGGGCGGUGAAGAGAUGAUGUUGAAGUACUACGUGUGAUGGAUGAAAUGCUGCUGAGACGUUACAAGAUAUUCCAGCAGAGGCAUCCUUACCGUCCGCAUUACAAGGAUAUGAGAACAUUGGGGUCCUGAAGGCAGUGACCUGUUUACCAUACACAUAUUUACUUCCUUUCUAGGGCGGAACAAUGGAAGGCACAAUUCCAAGUACAACUCUUCAAGAACAGGAUCUCGGAAGGAACAACAAUUUACAAGCUUGGCGCUUACCAGGUUCAUUAUGCUAGGGAAAGAUACAAAACUGUAGAUUGUCCAUGGAGAGUAGUGUUUGCCCAAAAAACUACCGUGGAACCAAUUGUGCCUCAGCCACCAAACUUUCCCAAGUAUGGAUAUACCACCUACAAUGUACACAGUAUCAAAGCCGCAUUAAACAAAUUGUUUUGUUGUCAGGUCAGCCACUCUUAAGAAUUGUUUUUAUUGUAUAAUUUUCCACUUCUUACAACUUACAAUUUACUGAACUUGUGAAUGUUGGAUUAGUUACCAGCAUCACAAGAAUAUUUGCGCCGAGCGGCGGAUCGAUUGACCAGAUAUGAGAAAAUCACAUCACAAACGUGUGCCAACUUUUAUCAUUUUUCAUUCUGUGUUCUUAUCUCUUCACUGAAACAAUGAUAUAUCUUUCCAGAAUGCCCGCCGUUGUGACGUUUUGGGGAAAAUUAGCAGAUUCCCUUGAUGCAGACAAAGCUACAACGGUGGAAACUUGGCCUCCAAGUCCUGUCUGGCAACUCGAUGGUACAUAAAUCUAACUAUUUCUGAAGCGGCAACUAUUCUAGGAAGAUCUACUGCAAGAUCCCAUCAAAUUGAGAUAAGCACCGGCUCACAGGGUCAUCGCUAGGCAACAAAUACAACAAUCACAUAAUUAUCAGCCGUUGACCCUGGUGGAAUCAUGGACCAGUACUAUAUACUGGAAAUAAAGAGAACUGAAGUGUCCCCUUCCAUGGCAUUGGGGGGCCUUUCUCUGCCAGGCGUGGCGGCUCCUUGGUAGGAUGAUGCAGCUGGCUCGGCGGAGGCUAGGACACAUUACAAGCCCCCUCACCCACCCCGACGAGAAGGGCGGCAAGACGACAACUGCUUGCUGAUUUUUAUCGUUGCAUAAAUAUGCUUAUUUUUACGUUGCUUGUUGCUGAGCUGGAGAUGGAAAGAACCAAUCUUACUAUACUGUUGUGUGAGAAAUAUUAGUCUGCAAAUUGAUUACUAAUCCCUCCGUCUCAAAAUAAGUGACUCAACUUUGUACUAGCUUUAGUACAAAGUUGAGUCACUUAUUUUGCGAUGGAGGGAGUAUUUUCUAUCCUUUGGUGAAAUGACCAGGAGCAAGCAAGAUGGUGCCAAUACUUGCGAGAUGAUAGUGUAGUUGGCCUUGACUUCCUUUUCUGGUCCUAACCAAUUUUAGAGAACAGUGUAAUGUUUUUUAUUGUUUAUUAUCCUCGGCGCAUACAAAAAAUUACUUGAGUCUCAGGUAGCCAGGUUGCAUUAUCACCAUCUUACAAAUAUUUGUUGUGCAGGUCUGAGCUGUGUGCAAGGAAGCUCAAGACAUUGGGGGAAAGCAUUGUUGGAUAUGUGGUAUCCUGACCCUCUUACUUGGGACUUGGAUAAGUUACAAUCUUACAUGUUCUGAGUUCUGUACUCCCAUGUACUUGGGUUCAAGAAUUUAUCUUGACAUUAUUUUAAAUUUUCUCUAAGAUGUGCAUAUCACCGCUGAAUUUUUUGCAAUAUAUAAAUUCAGUGUUACUGUGAACACUUGAACAAUACAUACAGAUGUGUAGAAUGAGAUUGUUCUAUACUGAGGACUGUAGUUUACUGAUGUAUAUUAUUAAUAAGCUCCUAAUAAAUAUGAUUUGCCAAAAAACAAAUUGCGCAUACAAGAGUCAGCUAGGUAAGUAUGAUUUAAUAGGUUACUGAAGAUUUGCGAUGAAUAAAAAUGGCACGGUCAGCUAGGUAAAUCUCAUUGAGUUUUACACAAUGAGAUGCAUAGAAAUAAUUGUUCUUCCUUGUUCAUAUGUUGCACAUAAUAAUACAAAAGGUUUAUUUCUAUGUAUGUUUAUUUUUGCAGAGUACAUAUCAGAGAUGGCGAGGGAUUAUGUCGAUGUUCAAAAAGAAUCAUAUUGUACAAGGGUCCCGAGGCAAUGUCGUUGGAAGGGGUCGAAAAUUUUCUAAGCUUUAUACAACAAUAUUGGAUAUGCAAGCAGAAAAAAAGGCUAAGGCCCCUUUUGGUUCAUAGGGUUGGAAUAAUAAUAGGAAUAUAAAAAUUAUAGUAAAUGAGAUGUCAUGUAUCUCAAAUCAUAUGAAUAGUAAUACGAAAAGAGAUGUCCUUUCAUUCA